rnacentral:lncRNA from 1 species
GGCCCAUGGAGGUGUGUAUUGCCCAGAAAGGUAGAAACCCAAGGGAAGGUCAAUUGGGUUCUUUAAAAAAAUUCAACUGAACCUGAAAUCUAAAUAAUAAUGUGCUUCAAUUUAAGCUAUUUUAAGUAAUUUUGGAGUGUAUGCAAUUAUGUUGCAAUGGAAUUGAGAAAAUAAAAGUAAAGUAAGAAAUAAAAGCAAGCACACAAGCACCACACA